GCACACCGAAGACGUAUGUAGCCGCUUCCUGACACAACCACCGGACCCAUCUCUCGUAGACCAUUCCAAUGGGUACUUGGGCUCGAACCCAGGUAAACAGGCACAUCCAAAUUCAUUUGCAUUGGCGAGUUCACACGUACUAUAAGCACCACAAAUUCCAUAAUAGUGGCACUGAAACUGAGGGGACUUCCAGUAUUCCUUCCACCGACCAUCACUUUCUCGCCAUGUUAAAGCCUUUACUACUCCUGAAUGAUCCACUAUUAUUCUUAUCAGAUAAGAAUCAUCAGGAACUGUGUAGAAAGAGUACUUUUCGUCUGGAUCAUUUACAAAAGUGCUUGUGUAUAAGCCCAUCUGACUUCUCCAUGGCCAAGGGGGAGAUCUACAAAUUGGUUUUUUACCAUUAUAGAAGAAGAAUUGUGGCGAGCCAUUUGGGUUGAUCCUAACUGAAAAGUCCCCGAACCCAGGGUCUUCGGCUGAUCUCCAUGAUGUUAGGAACCGAUCAAUUCCUAAUUUUCGAUCCAGCCCCAGUUUCAUUCCAGGAAGCAGGAUGUUCGUAGGAUAAUCGAAGCUUUGCCAUACUGUUUUUCUGCUUCUUUUCCUGACCAAUAUCAAAUUUCCUGAAUCCAAGAGUUGAGCUUCACAAGUAUCAUUUUCUUCCACUGAAACAUUUGUAGACCACACAGGAAGCUUUCGGUCAUCGUUACCAUAGAGAAUGAGGUUACCAUAUUGGUCUACAAAGAGAAAUCCUGAGGAACCAAUGAUUGGAUCGUUCCUGUUUGCAACCCACACCACAGUUUGUUCUGGUACUUUAUGGUACCAAAUUCCAAGAUAUCUAUUGCUAGAACUACCUGGACUGAAAAAUCCCAGUGCGAAAUUAUUUCCUUUGGAGAUAAGAAGGUCACCUUCUUUAAUGGUUUGGUUCGUCUUUAAGGAGUCGUGGGAUGUACAAGAUGAGAAUUGGAGCAUUAAAAGAGAAAAAAACAGGAACGGUUUUUCAGCUUCCAUUAUUGGGAAACUGGAUCUUGGCUUUUGGACAAUUUGAAUGUUGCUUUGUAGAGAAAGGAGGUGUUCUUCAGACAAGUGUGCGACCAUUAGAGAAGUUACGUGAAAAAAGUGGUUAUUGUGGGAUUUUUGUUUUAUGGGUAGGCUGUUCGGAAAUGAAUAAUAAUUAUUUUCUAAAAUGUUUUUUUAUUAAAAAUAUAUUAAAAUAUUAAUUUUUCGAUCAUGAAACUAUUAAUUUAUCCAAAAAUAUUUUGAUUCAAUAUACACUAAGUAUUUCAAUUUUUAUUUUUUUUGCGCGCGUGGCGUUUAGAUAAGACAAAUGUACAUUUACAUAUUUUUCUCACAAUUCUUUGGUAUUGGACUUCUAAAUGUUUUCUUAAGCCACGUGCCGCUGUCGGCAAAAUAUUAUUUUGACUUUUAGGGUCCUAUCGUUUGGUCGUUGGUCCUCCUAGAGUCAAGGAGUUUUUUUAAACAGGUAUCCGGGGAGGAGGGAAUUAAAAUCACCUCCAGGAAAUCUCCAUAGCUGUUGACUAGCACACCGUUGAUUUCUUGUUCAGUUUACUAAUCAGCUAUCCACUCUUUAAUCCCUGGAUUACUUUUCUAACUUCCUUUUUUUUCUUUUUUUUUUAUUCCAAGGUUAGGUAAAACACGAAUGGUUUAUGUGCUUCCAUCUCAGAAGCAAUUAAAUUGAAUAUUUAGUAGACUUUAUUAUUAGUUUAUUGUGCAUGUUAUGAGAGAAAUUGUAAUUGAUUUGUCCUACAAAAUCAUAAAUCAUAUAAUUGAGAAUGUAAAAUUAAAAAAAAAACAUAAAAGUUUAGUAAUGGUCUUAAAAAGGGAAAGAAUUGAUAUAUGUGCUAUGGAGGGUAUGGUGACUUUUAAAUCCAAAAAAAAAAAACUAUUUAAUUUUUUUAUUUAAUCAAGCUAACUUUCUGUUUUUUUAUUUAGUUUUUUCAAUCAUCAUUCAUCUAGUUGAAUUGAUUUUUUUUCAAAAUAAGGAGUUUUACAAGGACUAAAUUGCAUAAAUGUUAAGGGUGCAAUUUUGUAUUUUAGAUUAGGACACAUUAUGCUUAAAUAAUAUUUAUUUAAUAUUCUAAUAUUUAUUUGAUUUGAUUUUUGUUAGUUAUGUCAACUUAAUUCAUUAUUUAAAACAAUGUUAUACUUUAUAAGUGGCAUUCCAUAAUUGAUAUUUAAAAUUUAUUAAAUCAGAAUUAUUUUUAUUGUUUAACUACAAUUUUCAAAUUUAAGAAACUUUGAUUUAUUAAUUUCCCCAUGCACUGCAUCACUUGAACUUUACUCUUUAGGGUUUUCUUUCUAGUGGGCAUCAUGAGAAGAUACGCAUGAUUCAAGAAGGUACUGUUUUUUAAUAUUAAAAUAGUAAUAUAUCAAAAUUUAUUUUUUAAAUAUUAAAAUAAUAACAUAUUAAUUAAUUAGUCAAUCUCAAUUAAUCAUCCAAAUUUAUAAUCAAAGUUAUAAAACUAUAAAAACCUUAUGAAAAAAUUAAAACAAAUAAUUAUGUUGAAUUUCAAAACAAUUAUUUGAAGAAUGAAAUUUAAAAUUAAAAAAAAAGAUUCAAAUGAACCCAAAUCAAUUUAUUAAAUCCAUAAUUCGAGUUAUCUAUUCCACACUUGACAAUUGUUUUUUGCUCUUACAUUAUUUUGCAUUUAAUUACACAACAAAAAAUCUAAAAAUAAAGAACAAACAUUACAUGCGUGUGGGAUUUAAAAAAAAAAUGUUUAACUAACUUUUUUUUUUUUUUAAUCUUCAGGGGGGCUGAAAAUGCAUUAAGUAAAAAAUAAAAACAUUUUCAAAAAUUAACAAUCCAUCCAGGGGCAUCACCCACCCAUCCACCUACCUGACUAUAUAAAAAUAAAAAAUAAAAAUUAAAAUAUUUAAUGAAAAACAAGUUUUAAAAAAUAAAAAUUAAACUAAGUUAAUAUGUUAUAUUCAUGACCUGAUUCAUUUAUCCCACUAAAUUUAAUACCAUAUUAUUUAUUAAGAUAUUUUUCAUUUUGUUAUACAUCAAUGGAUGCAAGAUGUUUUUUAUAUCAAAUAAAAAAAAUAAAAAUAAAACAAAUAGGAUAGGCACGUGGGACAACACAAUGACCUAUUUUUUAAAGUAAAAUAAGAAAAAUGGUUUUUUAUAAGCCAAUUUAAAAAGGAAAAAAAAAAGUAGAAGAGGUCACAUGUAUUAUCUAUGCAAUGACCAUAAAAGCAUACCAAAUAAAAUAUCAUGAACUAAACAUAUCAUAUUUAUAUCUAAGCAAUUCACUUAAUUUAAUUAAAAAAACAAAAUUUAUUUUUUAAGAAAAGCUAAAUUUAACAAAAAACGAUGAAAAAAAAGACUCGAGAAAACCUAAGUCAUUUUUAAAAUUAGUAACAAAACCCUAUAGACAGUAAAUAAAAAAACAAAACUCAAUAUCUAAUUAAAUGAAAUGUUGAAGGAUAAAACUAAAAAAAAAAUAUAUAAGUUUGAAAACAAGAACAAAAAAUGAAUCGGAGCAAAUGCUCAAAAUCUAAGUUAAUCUCCUUAAUUCAUAACCUAUUAAAUCUUAGAUCUAGACUCAAUAAAAAAGUUUAAUUCAAUGUUAAAGGAUAAAAUAAAAUAAAAACAUUGUAAUUUUGUUUUGUCAAAGUAAAGAAAGUAGCAAUAAAAAAAUGAAGGUGGACAAAAUAUUUUUAAAAAAUUAAUUUUAAAAAUGAUCUCAAAUAAAAUAAAAGGCAGUCAAAAGAAUGAAUACAAAAUUUAAUAUAUUAAUAAAAUUAAAAGGAUAAUGAAAGUAAAAAUAAUCAAAUCAAAAAAUAAAGAUCAAAUCAAAAGAAAAAAAUAAUGGUUACUGUGAAAUUUUGAAAGGCUAUUAUGGAAAUCAAAGAUGAGAGAUAAAAAGAAAAAAAAAGCCAACCAAGGCCAAACUAAAUGGACUUACAUCACACACAACACCUAGAGAGGUAGGUCGUAUUAUGAUGAAUUGAAAACACCAAAGAAAGCUAUUUUUAAUAGUUGUAAGCUGCCACACAUACCGUUUAAACACAAAAGAAAGGCUUAUUCACUUAUAUGUGCAAUGAAUGCAUCAACUAUUUUUGCUUUUUUUUUUCCUUUACAUUUAUUGAAAGACUAAAUUGACUACAUAAUAAUAUUAACAACAACAAUAACAAUAAUAAAAAUAAAAAACAAAAGAAAAGUACAAAUUAGCCUUUAGAGGCCUCUAAGUUAGAAAAUUUUGAUUUCAUGGAUAAUAUAAUUAUUUUACCGUGCUAUAAAAUAUAAAAUAUAAAACAAUGCCUCUAUACAUUAGGAACAUAGUUUUUUAAAAGCAUUUAAGUACUUAUACUAUAUAAAAAAAUGAAAAGACCAAGAAACCUAUGAUUAAUUUUAUAAUGAUCAAUGAAGCAUGCAAAAGCCUGCAUUACCCCUGAUAGAUAGGCAAAGUUUUUAUGUGAGAAGGGAAAUAGUAAAUUUACUGCUAUAAUCCAUAAUAAUUCAACACAUAUCUAUAAUAAUUUUUCCAUGGGGUUUAGGUUUUUGUUAAUUCUACAUUGAAAUCAGGAAUUAAUGUAUUUACAAUAAUCAUUUAACUGGCUUGGUAUCAUAGUCUAUCAACUAAAAAAAACAUCUUAAAUAAAACUAAAACAUAAUAAAAGAAUUUCAAAUCAAAUAGAAAAAAGAAUUGUAAAUCAACUAAAAAAAUAUUGAAAAUCCCAAACAAUAAUUUCUUAGACUUAUUUGAAAGUCUUCCUACAUUUGGAUGAAUAUAAAAUUUUAACUUUAUAGAAAAUAAAAACUUUAAAAUUUUUUAUCAAAAUUUUAAUUUCUUCCAACAAUUAAAUCAAAAGUUAAGUUGUAUUUUAAAAAAAUAGUCUACUACAAUAAAAUAGCUUGAAAGAAAACACUAUUAGGACCAGUGGUUUUUCAAAAACACCAGCAUUUCCUUGCCAGUGGUGCUGUUUCUUAAGAAAAAAAAAAUCGCCCUGUGCUAGUUUUUCAAUUUUAUUUAAAGGUACUAAAUUUAAAAAAAAUCAGAAAAAAACACUGGAACAUAGUUCAGGAAAAAAGAGAAAAGGAUCUGAACCAAAAAUUUAUUUAAACCUAACACACAAGAACAUAGCAUCCAAUUGGUUUUAUGUUGACUAGCACGGUUUAAUCGAAGAAUUCUAGUCUUAACCUCGGAUUGCCUUACCAUACCAUUAUAUCUAGAAUGUUCACUUAUUUGGGAGGUUUUUCAUUGACUUGGCGUGAGAGGUUUUUAGAGAUUAUAGACUCACAAAUUCUAUGAUCAUUUUUUCUGGUUUCUAGGUUUUAUUUUGAGACACUUUCUAUUUUAUGGCUUGCUUCUAUGAGUCGUCUUAACACCAUUGAUAAAGUAUAUAUUUUUCAAAUCAUUCUCUCUUCGAUAUGUAUCCUUUGUAGGUCAUAAGUUGAAACACAUGAACAUUUAGUCUUUUAGUGCCCUUUUGCUGUUAUAGUUUAGGGUGCUAUCACAAGCAUAACCCUUAUGGUUUGAUCUUUUUUGACAUGGUGUCAUCUACUUUAGUGGGCAUAUAAACACUUGAAAAAGAAGGAAUUUAUGUAUCUACUUGCUCGAUUAGCCCUCUUAGCCUAAGUUUACUUCAUCUAGCAUAAGAGAAAUAACCGAGUCUUUCAUUAGAUUUUCCGAUCUCAUUAGGAUAUUUGCAAAAACAUUUUUUAUUUGGUCUAGUUCUAUUUAGUAGAGCUCGAACCAAGGUUUCACAUCUCAACUACUUUCAAAUCCAUUUGGUGCUUUCGAGAGUCACGAGAUAUCAUUGUUCUUACUAAUUUCAAGAUUUUAUUUAACACAUGUUCAUAUGUAAUAAACUAGUUAACUGGUUAAAUAAUUUCAAAAACUGGUUAAUCGGCUCAUCUGUUAUUUGUCUUCACAAUCUACUUUUGUAUGUUUUUCAAUUUCUUUUUUAACUUUGGCUUCUUUUCCUUUUUAAUUUUGAUUAGAUGAAGUUUUGAUUAGAUGAAGUAACAAGCUUUUUUAUACAUAUUGGGGUGUACCCCUAUAAUUUCUUCCCUUUAAUACAAUUACUUUUGUGAUGUUUUGAAAUUAAAUGAGUAGGUAAAAGGCAAUAAAGCCCUUGAAGGCUAAAAAUGAGUAUAAAUAAAUAAGGGGUAUUGUAGUAAUUGAACAAAGAGUUGAUAAAUAUAAAUAGAAAAGAAAAUAGAAGAGAGAGCUGUGUUUUAAGAGUGAAAACUGACAGGAGAAGAGAAGAAAAGGGGAGGAAGAAGAAGAGAAAAGAGGGAAAGAUAAGGAAAGGAGAAGAGAAUUGGAGGAAAUAAGUUUAAAGGUAAGAUUAUGUAUAAAUGUGUGUUCUUUAAGCUUUAAGUUCUGUUUUGAUAAAUGUUAGGGUUUUGAAUAUUGUGUUUUGAGUUUGAUUGAUGAAUUAAUUGGAAUGUUAUGGGUUGAUUGUUGUGGGUAAUUGGUUAAUUGGUUGAUUGUGAAAGAUUGGAGGUAAAGAUGAUGAUUUUGAGUUAUGAUUUUAUUUGAAUGGUGAAAUUGUGUUAGAAAUCAGGAGAUGACAGUAGGUAAUCUGUGAAAUUCUGGGUUUGAGGUUGAAGAUGAUGAAAAUUCAAUUUGGUCCCUCAAUUUGUGAAAUUACAGUUUGGUCCCUAAACUUUGGGAAAAUUAUAAUUUGACCCCUAAUUGUAUUUUGAGAUUCUGGACAGUGUUAUUAUGAGGUUAAGGAUGAUGAAUCUCAGUUUGAUAAUUGAUUGGGAAUAUUUUCAGUUUGGUCCCUCAAUUUUGGGAAUUUACAUUUUAGUCCCUGAACUUUAUGAAAAUUACAUUUCGGUCCCUGGUUCGUUCUAGACAGAAUUAAGGAUGGUUUAUGGGUGAAAAUUCAGUAUAGUUAUGUAUUUUCCAGAUUGGUCCAAUUUUGGUAAAAUUACGUUUUGGUCCCUGUUUUGGAAAAUUGUCGUUUUAGUCCAUUAAAUUAGGAGAAUAAACCUGGUUUUAUUUUAUGCAUUGGGAUCUCUUGUUUGAGUUGCUUUUGAGUAUAUUUUCAUAUUGUUGUAGGUUCUCCUAACGAUCCUCAAUAGGAUUUUCGGGUCUUUCGUCUGACAUUCCUUUUUGUUCUAUAUUUUCCGGGUGAGUGGGAUAAUCUUUAAUAUGCAUAUAUGAUAAUUAAAUAUGUAUGUUGAUUAUACAAUGAGUACAACUCGUUAAUUUCUUGAAUAAUUAUAUAUGUUGCUUAUUUUCCGAAUACUCAUUUAUUCUUGAAUUUGCACUCGCAAUCUGUCAAAGUAAAUUCUAUUUGAUAUGAUAUACGUUUCUUUGAUGAUUAUGUAAAUAUCUAUUAUGCCUUGAUAUGAGACUUGUCAGUAACUCCAUGCUAACGGAGAGUAGUUAGUCUAUGUGCACAUAGUAUUCUGUAAACCUAGCUGGUGAGAGAGGCAUCAGCCUGUGGCGACUGAUCAUCCCACAGUGGUCACCUUUGGGUGUCAUCUGGUCACCUUCGGGUGUCAUCUGGUCACCUUCGGGUGUCAUCUGAUCUCUGACAUGUACUCCACUACGUUAUGAUGAUAUGUUCAGUAUGUAUAUGUAUAUGUAUAUCAAGAUAAAUGAUCUUGCGAACUAUUAAUAUCAAGAAUAUCUAAAAUGUAUAUUAAUUAUUAUUCCCUCACUGAGUUGGUUGAACUCACCCCUCAUUCUUAAUAUUAUUUCAGGUUCUUAGUUUCUGAUAGCAGGUGAACUUUGUUGAGUGUUCCUGCUUCUUCAGUUUUAAGUUGGUAUGCCUUACUUAUCUUUCAAGGCUGUUUGAUUCGAUGUCUUAGGCGCUCCACUAUUACCUUGUUUUGAUUAAGUUUGGAUUUUUGACAAUGUAAUGAGUAUUAUGAAUUAUUGUUUUUGUUUUAAUUACUGAUGAGGAGUUUUAAACUACCUUUUGGUUUUAUCAGUUUUGAAUAAUAUAAUAUUUCUGAAGAUUAUGAAAUGCUGCGUAUUUUUGAAUAAAUUAUUCUUUUGAUAUGUUCGUUUUGAGGCUUAGCNNNNNNNNNNNNNNNNNNNNNNNNNNNNNNNNNNNNNNNNNNNNNNNNNNNNNNNNNNNNNNNNNNNNNNNNNNNNNNNNNNNNNNNNNNNNNNNNNNNNNNNNNNNNNNNNNNNNNNNNNNNNNNNNNNNNNNNNNNNNNNNNNNNNNNNNNNNNNNNNNNNNNNNNNNNNNNNNNNNNNNNNNNNNNNNNNNNNNNNNNNNNNNNNNNNNNNNNNNNNNNNNNNNNNNNNNNNNNNNNNNNNNNNNNNNNNNNNNNNNNNNNNNNNNNNNNNNNNNNNNNNNNNNNNNNNNNNNNNNNNNNNAGACAAAGCAAGCAUCAUAACAUAAAUGUAGAUCGAGUAAAUAUCCACAAAAGAAUAGCAGACGAACACCACCCAUGUAGCAUUCCUUAUGAUGAUGCUGUUAGAUUUCUUCCUUGACACUAGGCAGAAAGGAUCAGUUGUUUAGAAUCAGGUUGGGAAUUUUAGCAGUGGGUACAUCGAGUGGAGAAAAGCUUGAUCUGUAGACUGUCUUGAGGAAAGGCAUUGACUAGCGUUUUCCCAUAAUUGAAAUUGCUACUAAUUAAGAUACUUGGAUGGAAAACGAGCCUUGAAAACAACAAAUCUUAGCCCUCCAAACAACCAUUAUAAAUAUUAUAUAAAUAAAAUAUUAAAAGAAAAGGACUACUUAUUUGAAAGCUAGUACAGUUCUAGCUCCUGCAUCAAAAGGAAAGCAGGUUGUUUAGGAGAAGGAAUUGUUGUUUCACUACUUGACAUAAGAACAAGAGACCGACUUGUAUGCAUUUCAAGGCUUUUAGGGGAAAAUAUAACUCCUCCAGUGAUGAAUCAACUAUCUCCAAUGCAUCGUCAGAAAUCAUUGUUAUUUAACUUUUCAUUGAAUUGGAUUGUUCGUGCAUGGUGGUGUGUGUAAAAUCUCAAAUCCCCAAUUUAGCAACAAGUAUUUUCAUUUCAAAUCUAAUGGAACUUCAUUUUAGCAAUUUUUCAGACAGCACAGCUUCAGCGACAGGCAAUUUCAGUAAUUGUCACCUCAUUUAGAGAACACUGUCCAUCUUCUACGUCUAAUGCUUUAUCAGAUUUUGUAAAGAGGAAUGCAGGUUGUUUUGGAGAAGGAAUCUCUGUUUCGUUACUCAACAUAAAAACAACCGCCAACAUAGAUGGUCUGUCCGUGGCAUCUUCUUGCACGCACAGGAGACCAAUUUGUAUGCAUUUCAAGGCUUCACGCGGAUGAUACAACUCGUUCAGUGAUGGAUCAACUAUCUCCAAUGCUUUGUCUUCUCUCCAUAAUUCCCACACCUGUGUUGUUCAUAUAAAUCAUUAGCAUACAAGAAAUGAGAGCAGACAACAUCUAAAAUUGUGAACAUUGAAAUUCAACCAAGAGCACUAAAAACUCUCUUGUAACUCACAUAUCCAAUCAAGGUCAAGGGAGGAUUCUGUUGAUAAAAUCUAUUGUUCUUCUUGCCACUCACAAUCUCUAACAACAUGACCCCAAAACUGAAAACAUCUGAUUUUACAGAAAAGUUUCCAAACACAGCAUAUUCUGGUGACAUGUAGCCACUGCAUCAGAAAAACAAGAUUCUGAAGUUUUAGUAUUCCUGGUAAUCGAUGAUAGUACUUUGUCACUCGGUCUUUGUUUUAGGCAAAGGUACUUACUAUGUUCCUACAACUCUCCUUGUCCUAUCUUCAGUUUGGUUGCCCUCAAAUAUUUUUGCCAUUCCAAAAUCUGAUAUUUUUGGGUUCAUCUCUGCAUCCAAUAGAAUGUUGCUGCAUUUUAAAUCCCUGUGAAUGAUUCUCAACCUGGAGUCUUGGUGAAGAUAUAAAAUCCCACGAGCUAUUCCAACAAUAAUAUCAAAGCGUUUUCGCCAAUCCAAUAACAAUCUUCUGCUUUCAUCUGUUGAAACAAUUAUUUUUCAGCCAGGUAUAAUUUGACAACUAGUGUAAAUCAGGGCAACAAAAACAUAAAGAGACUUACGGAAAAGAAACGAGUCCAAGCUUUUGUUUGGCAAGUAUUCGUAGAUUAAGAUUUGUUCUCCAUCCUGAGUGCAGUAACCUAGAAGUUUCACCAGAUUCCUGUGUUGAAGCUUUGCAAUUACCAUAACUUCAUUUUUAAAUUCUUCUGUUCCUUGUCCUGAACUUCUAGAUAACCUUUUUAUUGCAACCUCCAGUCCAUUAGCCAGCAGACCCUAAAAUCAUCUUACAAGAUCAAGCCUCUGGACUACAAUUAUGCAAAUUAGAGAGGCCAUUUAGUUUUUAGCUAAAUGCAAGAAACUCAACCUUAUAAACAGAGCCAAAACCACCUUGCCCGAGUUUGUUAGCUGGAGAGAAAUUGUUAGUGGCCGCCGUUAUGGUGCUGAGCUUGAAAUAUUCCAAUUCAGUAGAAGUGCUGUUUACCUGCAGUUCAGUACCUUCUUUUGCUCUCUUCUUGAGCCACAAAUAAGUAUACAGGCCAACGAGAAACCACGACAAUGCAAUUGAUGGUGCUAAAAUGGCCAGCAUCGGUUUUUCACGAGAACCAUUUGACUUCCUUGUAGUAUCAGCUGCACGAGAGUGAAAAGAAUAAAGAUUUAACUCUAUAGGAAAAGGCACCCCAUUUUCCAAUCGAAAUAUGACAAUACAUAUGGCAAAGGGUAGCCCUUUUGGCACCUAAAACGUACCAAUAUCUAUGGUUUCUUUCCUGCAGUGAAGAGCUUAUUAACUACAGUCAAGAGCAGUGACAAGCAUAGGAAAGCUCUUAUAAAUCAAUAUUUGUAAUGACAAUCCUAUGAAGUAGUUACUGAGCAGAAAAAGGGUACCUAAUUCAUAUGCAUCAACACGAACAUACAGAUCAUGACUUUCACUCCUAGCAUACUUAAUGUCUUCUAAUUCCUUGUACCAUGUCAAACAACCAUAAUUUUUUCCGGGAAUUGCAAUGAUUGCAUAUGCAGAGCAUGAGCAAUUCCUCUUGCAUUGCACUUCGCAGUCUGCAAGACUCUUGCUCAUAUCCACCCAAACUGCAGCUGAACUUUCCGGAAGAACUACAUUUUCCACCUUCACAAACCCUUCUCCAUGCUGGCACAUCGAAGACGUAUGUAGCCGCUUCCUGACACAACCACCGGUCCCAUCUAGCACAGACCAUUCCAAUGGGUACUUGGGCUCGAACCCAGGUAAACAGGCACAUCCAAAUUCAUUUAGAUUCGCAAGUUCACACGUACUAUAAGCACCACAAUGUCCAUAAUAGUCGCAGUGAAACUGAGGGUACUUCCAGUAUUCCUUCCACUGACCAUCACUUUCUCGCCAUG
rnacentral:lncRNA from 1 species